AUUGAACGCUGGCGGCAGGCCUAACACAUGCAAGUCGAACGAGUGGCGGACGGGUGAGUAAUGUCUGGGAAACUGCCUGACGGAGGGGGAUAACUACUGGAAACGGUAGCUAAUACCGCAUACCAUCAGAUGUGCCCAGAUGGGAUGAGCUAGUUGGUGGGGUAACGGCUCACCAAGGCGAAAAUCCCUAGCUGGUCUGAGAGGAUGACCCGCCACACUGGAACUGAGACACGGUCCAGACUCCUACGGGAGGCAGCAGUGGGGAAUAUUGCGCAAUGGGCGAAAGCCUGAUGCAGCCAUGCCGCGUGAAUGAAGAAGGCCUUCGGGUUGUAAAGUUCUUUCAGCGGGGAGGCGUUACCCGCAGAGGAAGCACCGGCUAACUCCGUGCCAGCAGCCGCGGUAAUUC
rnacentral:rRNA from 1 species